UGGUUCUGGCAUCGAUGAAGAACGCAGCGAAAUGCGAUAAGUAGUGUGAAUUGCAGAAUUCAGUGAAUCAUCGAAUCUUUGAACGCACAUUGCGCCCCUUGGUAUUCCUUGGGGCAUGCCUGUUCGAGCGUCAUCUCCCCCCUCAAGCUGUGCUUGGUGUUGGGUGUCUGUCCCGCCUUGGGCGCGGACUCGCCUUAAAGUUAUUGGCGGCCGGUGGAAUCGGGCAACGAGCGCAGCAGUUUUCGCGCCUCGACCCGCGUCCCAUCGGUGUCCAGCAAGCGACAAACCAGUCUUGACCUCGGAUCAGGUAGGGAUACCCGCUGA
rnacentral:misc_RNA from 1 species